rnacentral:sRNA from 1 species
UCUGUGUCAUGUUUUGAUAAUUUGAAUUUAAUGCGGUGAAUCCCCCUAGCGGAGGGGCCAAGCCAGAAAGAUUCCUCGGUUAUUGUGUGACGAUUCAGGUUCUGGCUUUUCUGAAUCACCGGGAGGCACCCGGCACCGCAGACGUAACUACAAUUUACAGCAAACCCUAAGUCUCGCUUCGGCGGCCUUUUUUAAUAAA